UAUCAAUUACCAAGCCGAAGUUUCACAGCUUCUCGUUGACGCAUCGCAUCGUGAUGACUUUAAGCUAGCAUGCGAGUGUGUCUCCGAUCCUUUUGUGGACGUGAACUUCAUCGGGACGGUGAGCUUGAAGGCGAAGAGGACAGAGGUUUUACUGCGUGAUGAGUUGCCACAUGAAGUUCGCGUCGAAUAUGAGGAGUUCAAGACCGAUGUCACCUCUCUGUUCCUCGCUGCUCAUGCCGGAAAUUUAACGCUCGUCAGGAAGUUGCUGAGCGUCGGAGCCAAUGUGAAUCAGAAAUUGUUUCGGGGCUAUGCCACAACUGCAGCAAUAAGGGAAGGGCAUUUGGAUGUAUUAGAGGUGCUUGUGAAAGCUGGGGCAUCUCAG
rnacentral:misc_RNA from 1 species